UGUAUUUCAGUAUAUUAUAUAAUAUUAUUAUUAUUAAUGUGUAAACAUUCGUUGUCGUACAACAUUUUAAAAUUAGAUAUUAUGAAAAUGAAAAAAAAACCGAUUGACCGCAAAUGUUCCCAAAAAGGUAGUUACUGCAUCUGUGCCGAUCAUAAUAUAGUAUACUUUGAAUUUUUAUCAAGAAAGUUGAUUCUGGGGCAAAAAGAAAAAUUACCUCUAAUAACUUAACGAAAGAAAAUAAUUAUUGUGAAUACUUUUGAAGAGUGGAGAGACGGGUUAAUUUUGGGAGUGGCUAGGUUAUCACAUAUUAGUAGAUUUCGGCGGGUAAGAAACAAACUUGAG